rnacentral:rRNA from 1 species
CUACGGGCUGCUCCAGUGAGGAAUAUUGCACAAUGGAGGAAACUCUGAUGCAGCAACGCCGCGUGGAGGAUGACGCAUUUCGGUGUGUAAACUCCUUUUAUAUGUCAAGAAAAUGACGGUAGCAUAUGAAUAAGCACCGGCUAACUCCGUGCCAGCAGCCGCGGUAAUACGGAGGGUACAAGCGUUACUCGGAAUCACUGGGCGUAAAGGACGCGUAGGCGGGAUAUCAAGUCAGGUGUGAAAUCCUACAGCUUAACUGUAGAACUGCACUUGAAACUGGUAACCUAGAGUAUGGGAGGGGGAGAUGGAAUUAGUGGUGUAGGGGUAAAAUCCGUAGAUAUCACUAGGAAUACCUAAAGCGAAGGCGAUCUCCUGGAACAUAACUGACGCUAAGGCGUGAAAGCGUGGGGAGCAAACAGGAUUAGAUACCCCCAUAGUC